rnacentral:rRNA from 1 species
AGUCAAUAGAUACCCGGGUAGUCCACGCCGUAAACGAUGAAUACUAGGUGUAGGAGGUAUCGACUCCUUCUGUGCCGCAGUUAAACACAAUAAGUAUUCCGCCUGGGGAGUACGGUCGCAAGAUUAAAACUCAAAGGAAUUGACGGGGGCCCGCACAAGCAGCGGAGCAUGUGGUUUAAUUCGAAGCAACGCGAAGAACCUUACCUAGACUUGACAUCUUCUGCAUUAAUCGUAAUGGAUGAAAUCCCUUCGGGGUACAGAAUGACAGGUGGUGCAUGGUUGUCGUCAGCUCGUGUCGUGAGAUGUUGGGUUAAGUCCCGCAACGAGCGCAACCCCGUAUUAUUAGUUGCUAACAUUAAGUUGAGCACUCUAGUGAGACUGCCCGGG